rnacentral:pre_miRNA from 1 species
CAAAGUGCUCACAGUGCAGGUAGUGCCAGUGGAUCUACUGCAAUGUCUGCACUUCAAGU